rnacentral:lncRNA from 10 species
GGCACGGUGUGCACUCUAAUAAGCAUGAGCUGUAGAUGGAAAUACGGAAAGAGCAAUUCAGCCGGGAACGUUCUUCAUUUGGGAGGCGAGGCCAAGGAUGGCCAUAAUAACCUCUCAGUGCCCCACGGGGUGUCAUGAAUAUUUGGAGGAAGAGCCACUCCAGGUCGUCAGAGGACACGUGCAAGCAUUUCUGUAGAAGAUAUACCUAAAUGGAAAAGUGCGGGUUCGUGGAUAAGCACAUUCAACAUUGUGAGUAGACAAUGACAAAUGAUCUUCUCAAGUAAGUGUACAAAUUACACUCUCUCCAGCCGUUCAUGGGCGUUCCCAUGCUCCAUCUCUUCACCAAUGCCUGGCAAGACAUUGGGAGGCAAUGAAAACCAGCAAUCAGCCUGCCAUGAAUUUGCCAUGGGACUACAUACUGUUGCAGAAACAACCAUAUAAAUUUGCUGAGGAAAGACAAAUUCGCAGCAGGCCGACUACAGCAGCCUGGCCCCCAUGUGUUAGUGGGACUCCAGGGAAAGGGACGCCUGAGGCAUGAGCACAGAAUAAGGAAGGUGCCAAGGAGUGGGUAUGUAUACUUUUCCUGAGAUAUCCCUUUCACCAGGGCAAAGGCCACUGCAGUGCCAUCAGUAAAGAAAGGAAGGCAGCAUGCCAGGGUAAAAGCAGCACUUUG